rnacentral:rRNA from 1 species
UAAGGAAUAUUGGUCAAUGGAGGCAACUCUGAACCAGCCAUGCCGCGUGCAGGAAGACGGCCCUCUGGGUUGUAAACUGCUUUUAUUCGGGAAUAAACCUGCUUACGUGUAAGUAGCUGAAUGUACCGAAGGAAUAAGGAUCGGCUAACUCCGUGCCAGCAGCCGCGGUAAUACGGAGGAUCCAAGCGUUAUCCGGAUUCAUUGGGUUUAAAGGGUGCGUAGGCGGCUUAUUAAGUCAGGGGUGAAAGACGGUGGCUCAACCAUCGCAGUGCCCUUGAUACUGAUGAGCUUGAAUGAACUAGAGGUAUGCGGAAUGUGACAAAUAGCGGUGAAAUGCAUAGAUAUGUCACAGAACACCGGUUGCGAAGGCAGCUUACUAUGGAUUUAUUGACGCUGAGGCACGAAAGCGUGGUAAUCAAACA